rnacentral:rRNA from 1 species
CAGCCGUAAACAAUGUGCGUUAGGUAUGUCGGUAACCACGUGUUACUGAUGUGCCGAAGAGAAAUCGUGAAACGCACCACCUGGGAAGUACGGUCGCAAGGCUGAAACUUAAAGGAAUUGGCGGGGGGAGCACCACAACAGGUGGAGCCUGCGGUUUAAUUGGAUUCAACGCCGGACAUCUCACCGGAUAAGACAGCUGAAUGAUUGUCAAUCUGAAGGUUUUACAUGACUAGUUGAGAGGAGGUGCAUGGCGUCAGUGACU